CUUUUUGUCUGAUGUUCUCCCCUCUGCUUUCUUGCUAUCUUAUUUUCUCCUUACAUCCCACAUAUUAGAGAAAACAGGCAACACUUCUGGGCUGCUAUUUUGACUUCUGAACUGAAAAAACAGAGAAUAGGAUAGGGCCACCGCCGCCCACUCCACUCCACUCUUUCCACUCCCUUCCUUCUCCAUUCCUUCCCCUUCCUUCCUCCCUUUCCCUCCCCCUUCUCAGACCUAACAGAUGGUGCCUGUGACUCGACAGCAGGUGAGAGACUCCUGUGAUUUUCCCAGUUUUUUGGUCCCCUGCUGUUCAAGAUUCUUCACUUCUACACUCACAAAUCCUAAGUUCGACUGCUGCUUCCCAAUCAACAUCCACCAGGUGCUAUCUCAGCGUCUCAAGCUGCCUUAAACACUGCGCAUUUCCAAAGUCUCGCAGCCCCGCCCAAACUUUUUUUAUAAUUCAGUUCCACUCAAGAGAGGCUAUUUUUUUUCUUACAAUUUUUCUACCAUUUAUUCACUAUUACUGGUCACCUGAUAAUUUUACCAACCUGCCUGCCUUAUAAUCUUAAAUGCCAAUAUUAAGCUCCUACAUACUUACUUAAUUCUACAGAUAACUUUUACUAUAGUCCAGAUCUCAAACAACAAGGCAAAACUUGACCUUCAAGCUCCACAGAGAUCUUGCUAUGGUUGUUCAUAUUUUAAAUAACACUUACAAUUCUGAGUGUACAAAUCUACACAAGGUGAAGCUACCUGCCCCCCCACCAUGGGCCUCACUCAAAUUCAUCAGAAGACAUCAGACAAAAUCCCCCAUCCUGGCAUUCUUUGAGACCUUACUCCAGGGCUGUUUAGGCUAUCCUGGCCACCAGAGAGUGGCCUGGCCAUCCUACCUGGUAGCCCUCACAGGUCACUGCCAAAAGACCUUAUUCCACGGCUGUUGGGUUAUCCUGGCCACCAGAGAGUGGCCUGGCCACCCUCACAGGUCACAGGGGCCAACCGCCUUGGUGGAUAUCUGUCUCAGAAUCCAAAUCACAUUAAAACUCUCAAGGUGAGACAUUCUCUAUAUUCGUGGACAUAAGAGGCCACAUAUACAGAGUUCUUACUGAGUUUUUAGGCUAAUAAAUCCUCAAUGUCUCAUGGAGUAUUAAAGGUCAACCUAUGCCAGUUACAAACAGGGCCUAUCUUUAUACAGGUCCCAGUCCUAAAUCUUAAAAUGCUUUUAUUCCCUUUUAAACUGCUAUCCUGGUUUCACAUCACUCAGGCCCUAGAUCUAACCAUUCUUUUGAUACUCAUCUCUGCCUUACGACUCACAGGUUGUCAUGUUUUGUUGUCCAGUUUGAUUCUUAAUUUCUUACAUUCUAUUAAUGAUCAUUUCUAUAACAGGACUCUCUAACAGGAUUGCCUACAGACUCCAAUGUCAUAUAUACCAGAGACAAACCUUACCUACCUACCUUUUAACUUUUAUGCUUUCAUAUGGGGGAGUAAGCACCUCUCAUAACUUCACUCCUCCUAAUCCCAUGUUUAAUUUUUCAAAAUUCUGCCUUGCCACCUCAACAUCAUCCUGAUAGAAUAACAGGUCUAAAUCAAAGACACCUUUCCCUCUACCUCACUUGGGUUCAUAAAUAUGACAGUGCCAUGUCUCCUCAUAACAUCUUGUUUCUUUGUUUUUUCCAGUCUAACAUACGUGCAUUCACCAAUGAAGUUGUCUUGGCUAAAACACCUAACAUUGGCGUCUACCUGGGCAUCAACCUUCAUCCCGUCGACUCCCCUAGACCCCAAUACAGCGCCCUCAGCCAGCAGGAAGUAGUUACAGAGAAAAAUCUUCGCCCCUUUUCCUAAUAAUCAUAAGACGGGAUAUGAAAGAGUUGCUGGCCCAGGCCGGACACUUUAACCAGGAGAAGCCUCAGCCAAAUUAAGGAGCUCCUGCCUCCCCUGCCCCUUAGAGAUUUACCUGUAACCCUAUCCCCCCAUCCCUAAGAACCUGCCUCUGGCACCAAAUGUGUGCCAAUGAAAUACCUGUGCAUCCCUAAUGCCCCUUGGGGUCCACCCCAGACAGAGGCUACUUAUGGGCCUCACUCCACGUGUUAGAGUGUGUGUGUGUGAGUGUGUGUUCCAGAGAGAGACCUCCGGCCCGGGGUGGAGAUGCUGCCCCCCGGGGGCCGGGGGGGUGUCUCUCCCCACAUUCCCCAAAUAAA